UACGAAGGGGGCUAGCGUUGCUCGGAUUGACUGGGCGUAAAGAGUGCGUAGGCGGUUCGUUAUGUCUGCUGUGAAAGCCCCGGGCUUAACCCGGGAAUGGCAGUGGAAACUGGCGGGCUUGAGUGUGGCAGAGGGGGGGUGGAAUUCCGCGUGUAGCAGUGAAAUGCGUAGAGAUGCGGAGGAACACCGAUGGCGAAGGCAGCCCCCUGGGCUAACACUGACGCUGGAGGCACGAAAGCGUGGGGAGCAAACAGG
rnacentral:rRNA from 1 species